rnacentral:lncRNA from 1 species
GGUCCUCAUAUCUGCUUUGGUACCAAUAGCAUGCUUUUUUUGUUACUAUUGCUCUAUAAAUUUAAGGUCUCAUAUUGUGAUGCCUCUUGCUUCACUUUUCUAUCAAAGGACUGCUUUGGUUAUUCUGGGCCUCUUGUUUUGCCAAAUGAAUUUCAUGACUGCUUUUUCUAAUUUUAAUCGAAUUGCAUUAAAUCUUUAUAGUGCUUUUGGUAGUUUGGUCAUUUUGACAAUAUUAUUUCUGCCCAUUCAAGAACGUGGAAAGUCCUUUAAUCUUCUAUAGUAUUCCUAAAUUUCUUUCCUUAGUGUUCUGUAGUUUUCAUUGUAGAAGUCUUUCGCCUCUUUUGUUAGAUUGAUUUUUAGGAAUUGAUUAUAUACUUUUUGAGGCUAUAAUAAAUAGGAUAGUUUUUUAAAUUUCUCUUUUGCUAAUUCAUUGUUGGUGUAUAGGACCACAAUUGAUCUAUGUGUGUUAAUUUUAUAUCCUGCCCCUUUGCUGAAUUUAUUUAUGAGUUGUAGAAGUUUUCUGGUGGAGAUUUUUGGGGUCUUCUAAAUAUAGGAUCAUUUUUGUCAGCAAAUAGGGAUAGUUUGAGCUCUUUUCCUAUUUGCAUCCCUUGAAUUUCUUUCUUUUGCCUAGUUGCUUUGGCUACUUUCAAGGUGGGAUACAAGUGGUGAAAGAAGGCAUCCUGGUCUUGUUCUGCUUUUUAGGGGAAAUGCUUUCAGUUUUUCUCCAUUUUGAAUGAUGCUGGCUUGGGC